rnacentral:rRNA from 1 species
GCAUAUCAUAGCGGAGGAAAAGAAACUAACAAGGAUUCCCCUAGUAACUGCGAGUGAAGCGGGAAAAGCUCAAAUUUAAAAUCUGGCGGUCUUUGGCCGUCCGAGUUGUAGUCUGGAGAAGUGCUUUCCGCGCUGGACCGUGUACAAGUCUCCUGGAACGGAGCGUCAUAGAGGGUGAGAAUCCCGUCUUUGACACGGACUACCAGUGCUCUGUGAUGCGCUCUCAAAGAGUCGAGUUGUUUGGGAAUGCAGCUCAAAAUGGGUGGUGAAUUCCAUCUAAAGCUAAAUAUUGGCGAGAGACCGAUAGCGAACAAGUACCGUGAGGGAAAGAUGAAAAGCACUUUGGAAAGAGAGUUAAACAGUACGUGAAAUUGCUGAAAGGGAAACGCUUGAAGUCAGUCGCGUCGGCCGGAACUCAGCCUUGCUUUCGCUUGGUGUACUUUCCGGUCGACGGGCCAGCAUCGAUUUCGAUCGUCGGAAAAAGGCAGAGGGAAUGUGGCACCUUCGGGUGUGUUAUAGCCCUCUGUUGCAUACGACGGUUGGGAUCGAGGUUCGCAGCACGCCUUUAUGGUCGGGGUUCGCCCACGUUCGUGCUUAGGAUGCUGGCGUAAUGGCUUUAAACGACCCGUCUUGAAACACGGACCAAGGAGUCUAACAUGCCUGCGAGUGUUUGGGUGGAAAACCCGAGCGCGUAAUGAAAGUGAAGGUCGGGACCUCUGUCAUGGAGGGCACCGACGCCCGGACCUGAAGUUCUCUGACGGCUCCGCGGUAGAGCAUGUAUGUUGGGACCCGAAAGAUGGUGAACUAUGCCUGAAUAGGGUGAAGCCAGAGGAAACUCUGGUGGAGGCUCGUAGCGAUUCUGACGUGCAAAUCGAUCGUCAAAUUUGGGGUAUAGGGGGCGAAAGACUAAUCGAACCAUCUAGUAGCUGGUUCCUGCCGA